UCCCCCUUAGCUCAGUGGUAGAGCGCUUCACUAGUAUUCCGACCAGCUAUGGGAAGAUGCCAUGAAGAGGUCAGUCGUUCAAGUCGGCUAGGGGGAA